GACGAACGCUGGCGGCGUGCCUAAUACAUGCAAGUUGAGCGCUGAGGGUUGGUACUUGUACCAACUGGGUGAGCAGCGAACGGGAGAGUAACGCGUGGAGACUCUGCCUUUGAGCGGGGGACAACAUUUGGAAACGAGUGCUAAUCCCGCAUAAAAACUUUAAACACAGGUUUUAAGGUUGAAAGAUGCAAUUGCGUCACUCACACAUGGUCCCGCGUUGUGUUAGUUAGUUGGUGAGGUAAAGGCGCACCAAGGCGAGGAUACAUAGCCCAACUGAGCGGGUGGUUGGCCACACUGGGAGUGAGACACGGCCCAAACGGCCACGGGAGGCAGCAGGAGGGAAUCUUGGGCCAUGGAUGAAAGACUGAGCGAGCAACGCCGAGGGAGGGAAGAAGGAUGUCGGAUCGUAAAAGUCUGUUGGUAGGGAAGAAAGUUGGUGAGAGUGGAAAGCUCAUCAAGUGACGGUAACUACCCAGAAAGGGACGGCUAACUACGUG
rnacentral:rRNA from 1 species